rnacentral:rRNA from 1 species
UACGGAGGAGGCAAGCGUUAUCCGGAAUUACUGGGCGUAAAGGGCGCGUAGGCGGGUGGACAAGUCUCUCGUGAAAGCCCACGGCUCAACCGUGGAAUUGCGGGAGAUACUGUCUGUCUUGAGUCCGGGAGAGGAGGGUGGAAUUCCCAGUGUAGCGGUGAAAUGCGUAGAUAUUGGGAGGAACACCGGUGGCGAAGGCGGCUCUCUGGACCGGUACUGACGCUGAGGCGCGAAAGCUAGGGGAGCAAACGGG